CCUACGGGGGGCAGCAGUGGGGAAUAUUGCGCAAUGGGCGAAAGCCUGACGCAGCGACGCCGCGUGAGGGAUGAAGGUCUUCGGAUCGUAAACCUCUGUCAGCAGGGAAGAACGGUCACUGUGCUAAUCAGCAGUGAAUUGACGGUACCUGCAAAGGAAGCACCGGCUAACUCCGUGCCAGCAGCCGCGGUAAUACGGAGGGUGUGAGCGUUAAUCGGAAUUACUGGGCGUAAAGCGCUCGUAGGCGGUAUGUCAAGUCAAGGGUGAAAUCCCCGCGCUCAACGUGGGAACUGCCUUUGAAACUGGCAAACUGGAGUGUGUGAGAGGAUAGUGGAAUUCCAGGUGUAGGAGUGAAAUGCGUAGAGAUCAGGAGGAACAUCAGUGGCGAAGGCGACUAUCUGGCACAUAACUGACGCUGAGGAGCGAAAGCGUGGGUAGCAAACAGGAUUAGAUACCCUAGUAGUC
rnacentral:rRNA from 1 species